CGCGCGCGCGUCAUCACAAGCACAGGACUGCAUUUUGCUGUCAAGCAGGGAGCCAUUUUAAGUUGUGCCUUCGAGAUGACCCAAAUGAUGCUGGAUGAGGAAUGCACAAUGUCAAGCAACCAGUGGCCCUUAUCCAGGAUCCAGGAUUUCUGCAGCAUUGAUAAAGAGUCACCCUACUACCUAGACCUUGUAUCAAAGCAAGUGGAGAAAUGCAGGGG